rnacentral:rRNA from 1 species
GUUGGGUAGGGGAGCGUUCUGUAAGCCUGCGAAGGUGGCCUGUGAGGGUUGCUGGAGGUAUCAGAAGUGCGAAUGCUGACAUAAGUAACGAUAAAGCGGGUGAAAAGCCCGCUCGCCGGAAGACCAAGGGUUCCUGUCCAACGUUAAUCGGGGCAGGGUGAGUCGACCCCUAAGGCGAGGCCGAAAGGCGUAGUCGAUGGGAAACGGGUUAAUAUUCCCGUACUUGGUGUUACUGCGAAGGGGGGACGGAGAAGGCUAUGUUGGCCGGGCGACGGUUGUCCCGGUUUAAGCGUGUAGGCUGGUUUUCCAGGCAAAUCCGGUUCACUUUAAAACUGAGGCGUGACGACGAGGCACUACGGUGCUGAAGCAACAAAUGCCCUGCUUCCAGGAAAAGCCUCUAAGCAUCAGGUAACAUCAAAUCGUACCCCAAACCGACACAGGUGGUCAGGUAGAGAAUACCAAGGCGCUUGAGAGAACUCGGGUGAAGGAACUAGGCAAAAUGGUGCCGUAACUUCGGGAGAAGGCACGCUGACAUGUAGGUGAAGUGAUUUACUCAUGGAGCUGAAGUCAGUCGAAGAUACCAGCUGGCUGCAACUGUUUAUUAAAAACACAGCACUGUGCAAACACGAAAGUGGACGUAUACGGUGUGACGCCUGCCCGGUGCCGGAAGGUUAAUUGAUGGGGUCAGCGCAAGCGAAGCUCCUGAUCGAAGCCCCGGUAAACGGCGGCCGUAACUAUAACGGUCCUAAGGUAGCGAAAUUCCUUGUCGGGUAAGUUCCGACCUGCACGAAUGGCGUAAUGAUGGCCAGGCUGUCUCCACCCGAGACUCAGUGAAAUUGAACUCGCUGUGAAGAUGCAGUGUACCCGCGGCAAGACGGAAAGACCCCGUGAACCUUUACUAUAGCUUGACACUGAACAUUGAGCCUUGAUGUGUAGGAUAGGUGGGAGGCUUUGAAGUGUGGACGCCAGUCUGCAUGGAGCCGACCUUGAAAUACCACCCUUUAAUGUUUGAUGUUCUAACGUGGACCCGUGAUCCGGGUUGCGGACAGUGUCUGGUGGGUAGUUUGACUGGGGCGGUCUCCUCCUAAAGAGUAACGGAGGAGCACGAAGGUUGGCUAAUCCUGGUCGGACAUCAGGAGGUUAGUGCAAUGGCAUAAGCCAGCUUGACUGCGAGCGUGACGGCGCGAGCAGGUGCGAAAGCAGGUCAUAGUGAUCCGGUGGUUCUGAAUGGAAGGGCCAUCGCUCAACGGAUAAAAGGUACUCCGGGGAUAACAGGCUGAUACCGCCCAAGAGUUCAUAUCGACGGCGGUGUUUGGCACCUCGAUGUCGGCUCAUCACAUCCUGGGGCUGAAGUAGGUCCCAAGGGUAUGGCUGUUCGCCAUUUAAAGUGGUACGCGAGCUGGGUUUAGAACGUCGUGAGACAGUUCGGUCCCUAUCUGCCGUGGGCGCUGGAGAACUGAGGGGGGCUGCUCCUAGUACGAGAGGACCGGAGUGGACGCAUCACUGGUGUUCGGGUUGUCAUGCCAAUGGCACUGCCCGGUAGCUAAAUGCGGAAGAGAUAAGUGCUGAAAGCAUCUAAGCACGAAACUUGCCCCGAGAUGAGUUCUCCCUGAGACUUAGAGUCUCCUGAAGGAACGUUGAAGACGACGACGUUGAUAGGCCGGGUGUGUAAGCGCAGCGAUGCGUUGAGCUAACCGGUACUAAUGAACCGUGAGGCUUAACCUUACAACGCCGAAG